rnacentral:rRNA from 1 species
GACGUAGGGUGCGAGCGUUGUCCGGAUUUAUUGGGCGUAAAGAGCUCGUAGGCGGCUCGUCGCGUCGACCGUGAAAACCCGCGGCUUAACUGCGGGCUUGCGGUUGAUACGGGCGGGCUAGAGUUCGGUAGGGGAGACUGGAAUUCCUGGUGUAGCGGUGAAAUGCGCAGAUAUCCGGAGGAACACCGGUGGCGAAGGCGGCCCCCUGGUUGGAUACUGACGCUGAGACGCGAAAGCGUGGGGAGCAAACAGG